GGGCCACUAGCUCAGCUUGGUCCUAGAGCAUCCGGCUCAUAACCGGACGGUCGCAGGUUCAAAUCCUGCGUGGCCCACCA
rnacentral:tRNA from 1 species